CCUACGGGAGGCAGCAGUGAGGAAUAUUGGUCAAUGGGCGUAAGCCUGAACCAGCCAUGCCGCGUGUGGGAUGAAGGCUCUAUGGAUCGUAAAUCUCUUUUAUAAGGGGAUAAAGUGCGGGACGUGUACCGUUUUGAAUGUACGUUACGAAUAAGGAUCGGCUAACUCCGUGCCAGCAGCCGCGGUAAUACGGAGGAUCCGAGCGUUAACCGGAUUUAUUGGGUUUAAAGGGUGCGUAGGGGGUCUUUUAAGUCAGCGGUGAAAUGCUGUGGCUCAACCAUGGAAUUGCCGUUGAUACUGGGGAGCUAGAGUAUGGUUGAGGCAGGCGGAAUGCGUGGUGUAGCAGUGAAAUGCUUAGAGAUCA
rnacentral:rRNA from 1 species